UACGUAGGGUGCAAGCGUUAAUCGGAAUUACUGGGCGUAAAGCGUGCGCAGGCGGUUUGCUAAGACAGGUGUGAAAUCCCCGGGCUUAACCUGGGAAUGGCAUUUGGGACUGCAAGGCUCGAGUGCGGCAGAGGAGACUGGAAUUCCUGGUGUAGCAGUGAAAUGCGUAGAUAUCAGGAGGAACACCGAUGGCGAAGGCAGGUCUCUGGGCUGACACUGACGCUCAUGCACGAAAGCGUGGGGAGCAAACAGG
rnacentral:rRNA from 1 species